ACUGAGUUCCAGGAGGACCAUGAGGAGGGAGGGAAAGGGUUUCUAGGCAGAGGAAGAAGAGCAGAAGCCACUCAUCCUCCCUGCUCUCCUUGUGGGCCUGCCAUGCCACACACCAGGUGCUGGAUCAGGCUGGCAUGGGGUUGUUACAGCUACUGAAGCAGCCCCUGUCCUGUUGGAGCAUGUGCAUGGGGGGCAGUCCCAUGCUUAGUGAGGGCUGUGAUGGGGACAGGAGCCUGUGGGGCCUGAGUAGACAUGGGAUGGGGCAGGUGGACCUCUCCCCUGCCCUGCUCUGCCUCCUUCAUAGAAAACCCACUGGUUCCUGCCUCUCGGGAGCAGCUCUCACUGUUCUUGCUCCCUCUCUGCCCUGCACCUGGGCCUCGUGAGGUCCUGCCUGUGGUGUCCCACCUGCCCUUCCACACAUCUCACACAGGGCUUCACAUGAAUCCACCCAGACUCCGGUCUUCCUGGGAGACCACUCUGCCCGAGUCAUCUCCUGACCAGGGCCCAAUGCCCUCCGCUUGGCAGGUGGUGAAAUGAAGUGCACAGAAGAGCAAUCACUGGCCUCACGGUGCACAACCAAUCAGUGACAGAGCAGAACUGAAAACUGAAUCUAGUUAUUGGAGCGUGCUUACUGUCUUACAUGGAUGGGCCCUGGGGUCCAGGGACUUUGAGCCUCAGUUUCUUCCUCUGUAAACUGGGAACAUUGACCUGACUAUAAAAAUGACAAAUAUAGGUGAUUAUUAAAACAUCAGGAAACAAUAAAUGCUGGCGAGGCUGUGGAGAAAUAGGAACGCUUUCACGCUGUUGGUAGUAGUGUGAAUUAGUUCAACCCAUUGUGGAAGACAGUGUGGCAAUUCCUCAAGGAUCUAGAACCAGAAAUACCACUUGACCCAGCAAUCCCAUUACUGGGUAUAUACCCAAAGGAUUAUAAAUCAUUCCACUAUAAAGACACAUGCACACUUAUGUUUAUUGCAGCACUAUUUACAAUAGCAAAGACUUGGAACCAACCCAGAUGCCCAUCAAUGAUAGACUGGAUAAAGAAAAUGUGGCACAUAUACACUGUGGAAUACCAUGCAGCCAUAAAAAAGAAUGAGAUCGUGUCCUUUGCAGGGACAUGGAUGAAGCUGGAAGCCAUCAUUCUUAGCAAACUAACACAGGAACAGAAAACCAAACAUCGUAUGUUCUCACUCAUAAGUGGGAGUUGAACAAUAAGAAUACAUGGACACAGGGAGGGGAACAACACACACCGGGGCCUGUUGGGGGGCUGGGGGCAAGGGGAGGGAGAGCAUUAAGACAAAUACCUAAUGCAUGCGAAUCUUAAAACCUAGGUGACGGGUUGAUAGGUGCCACAAACCGCCAUGGCACAUGCGUACAUACCUGUGUAACCUGCACGUUCUGCACAUGUAUCCCGGAACUUAAAGUAAAAAAUAAAUAAAUAUUUUUAAAAUGGCAAA